AUAAGGUUUUUGUAAUCGACAUUUAUUUUUAUUUUUUACAAGCUUCGUCAAAAUGUAGCCCCUUUAUCAUUUAUUAUUUACUGACUGCGAGUUUUAUUUUUUUAUAUAAGUAACACAAACAUGUAGCUGUGAAUACAAAGUAAUGGUACUUUCACAAAACAUGUAAUGUUUUAUAGAGUUACAAGGCGUUGGUAACUUUAUAUUUCUCGUUUAGGGUACUUUUCUUUUGCGUUUUAAAUAAAAACAAACAUAUUUCCUUACUAUAGUUAAGCAGUCUACCUCCAAAAUGCGUUGGAACCCGCAGGACAACGUUCAAACAACUUAUUACAACUGAAGCGAUAGCAUAAAGCAAACCGAAUAAAGUGGUCUUGUAGUCUUUGUCAUAUGUUAGCUUUUAAAGACAAUGAUUUCUCGGUGCCUAUAAUGUUCUGAACCACUCCCCUCUGUUGCUGUCCCCUCACCCACAACCAGGCUUUAAGCUCUACUUUCCCCUCUUUUAAUUCGCUCCACUUAAUAAUGGAUUUGGACGUUAGAUAUGUUCACAGGGCUUUCUUCAAUUGAAAGAGCGUAGACAGGAGUGAAAAUAUAUGGACUAACAUCGAAAUGACAGUUAAACUUGUUCAUUCUAUGUUAUUCGAAAAUCAGAACGUUGCUUCGAGAAAUGAUAAGUUGACGGUGUGACGAAACUCUGCAGAAAAAUAACGACUUUUUUUUUUUAUGUAACUUAGUUGAAAACGCGCUUUUAGGUGACAUUCAAAACCACGAGAGAUUUGUUUGGCGACGAAUCAAAACUUCAAGUUUCCAAGUAUGCAAUUUUCUAAACUAUUUAUUACCCGCCCCACAAUAUAAAUAAAAAUAAUCCUAGAUACCCGACUAAUUGUCUGUUUUGAAACGUACAGCCAUUUUAUAUCGAUUCAGAUGACUUCGUUUGAAUAACUCUGAUUUUAGCCCGUUUCUCUUAGUUAUGCAAGACAAUAGUUAUUAUGCCAGCUAAUUAAUAUUACAGUUUAAAAUGUCGCAAUUUAUUGUCGUGGUUUACUGUUAUGUAUCUAGUAUAUGUUUUUGUCUAAUCCAGUUACAAUUACUGUCAAACCAAUGAAUCUGCAAACAAACAGAGAUUCGAGUAAUGUUACAGAAUGAAUUUUAAGUUCAUGAGUUUUAAAAGUUGCCUUAAAGUGUUAUAAUUUUUAUUAAAAGUAAUGUAAUGGCCUUUACAAUGACCCUGUAACCUCGUGAUAAAAGUACACGUCGCUUUGCUUAGUUUUGGCAUGGAUUUUGCUUUAUAGUUAAUGUAUUAAUUCCAGUAGUUCCCUUGUUGUCUUUUCUUUUUCUUUUCUUGGGCUCACACGAUUUUCAUGAACAGUUUUAACAUUCAAAAUGGAGUGAAAGGUUUAGCAAGUGAUUCUUGUCAUAGUGACCGUUUCUAGAAUAUCUAAAAAUAUGUAGUGUGCAUUGGCAUUGACUGAGCUUUUUUGAACAAAUGAGUAAAUGGCAUGAGGAUGAGAUCUUGGGCAUGCCAUGAAAGCUUUGCACCUGUUCCUAGAUGUCAUAUUUAACAAUAUUCCUUGAUUUUGCUACACAUCUGCUGAAAGUAGUGUAAGGGAGAGGCUGGGCAUGGCAUGGGAUGGACCAUUUGGAACUAAAAAAGAAAAAAAAAUAGGUAGAUAGUAGUUAAAAAAAAAAAAAAAAAAAACCUAUAAGUGCAUAUACUGCCAUAUGAUUUACAUAAUUUUAUAUAAUUAUGUUAUAAAGUCUGUCGUAGUUAUUUGUAAUAUUGUGAAUUGUCAGUUUUUCCCUCAUUGUUUCAUGAAAGACUCUUUAUUCGCAGAUGUACAAAAAAAAAAAAAAAAAAAAAAAAACACUUUUACUGCUGGUCUUUUACGUUUUUUAGUUGGGGUAUUUUUAGCCUUCCUGUUUUGGUGUGUGGUUCCUGAAGCUUUGUGCUUUUGUUUUUGGUUGUACGAGAUGAUACUGGUAGGAUUAAAAGGUAAAAGACAAGGGACUGUAUACUAUUGGUACAGAAAUGAUCUUCACAAAGAGUACAAUAUAAGUUUGCUCCUUAAGUUUAAUCUUAAAGAAUUGUAUAAUGACAGUGAAUUUUUAAAAUGUGUUAUGUUGCAUUAGCUGUGUAUUAUAAGUAAAUUAUUUGAAAGCUGAUUUGUUUUUUAACCUGGUUUGUUGUAUUAGCCUGUAAAAGAAAUUUUUUCAAAUGUGAGGUUGGAUUUUAAUUGAACUUUCCAUGACAGUAUAUUCAUCCGAAAAUGUAUUGAUUGCUGGACAUUAAUUUCUCUUUUAAUUCUGCUUUUUUUGACUUGAGUUAUCACAGAGGUCUUUGUCUUGUCUGGCUCUGUGAUUGUGUGUGCGUGGUUUGUGUGUACUGUUGGACCAUGUUUGUGCUACUCAGUAAAACUAUCUGUAGAACCAGAUCAACAUAUUCUCCACUCUUUGUAGCCAGCCUUGUACUACACAGAAAACCCACAGAGACCCUGCAUAAAAUCCGGCCAAAUUUAAAGCAUAAAGAGUAAAGUCUAAAACUUUGCUUUGUUUGAGCAUUCCACACUCUUGACAUCUGUUUUUGCUGUUCGUGCAUUGUUUUUGUUUUUUUCAAUGGAUAAUGAACUAAUAGCGAGAAUAUAAAGUCUUGUUUUUUCUUUCUUUUUGGACAGUGCGUUUGGGCUCGAAACACCCCCUGUGCGGUCGCUUGAGUUUAGAGUUUGUGGUGAAUGCUUGCCCGCAGUUUAAUGCAAAAAUACACGACGAACGCAUAACACUUUUCCUGGUUUCAUUUCCCUCUUUCUGUGCGUCUUUGCAGCAGAGCCUUCUGCCUCUUUUGUUCCCCCCCUCCCUCUCUUUCUCUUGGCUGUGUGAAUGCUUUGGCAAAGCUACAAGAAAUCAAGCAAGCGAGAGCUGCUAGCACUGACGCGCCCCAGACACUAAGCCCUAGAAAUUAAUUUUUUUCUCAGAAAUGGUAGUCCUGACAGUCUUCAAACUUCACACUCUUCUAAGGGGACCCCAGGGCGAUGUCCUGAUUUUUUUUGGGAUUUUUCCUGUCCCCCGAAAAUGUUCAUUUUAAUUGUAGAAACUGAUGCCCCGGGAAAAAGGCUACAACCCCUGCUUUUUAUGCCUACCAAGUUCCUCAGGCAGCCUCACUAGCUACAGCUAAGCAGAGGCUGCACACUGCACUGGACUGCUGGUCUGAAGGUGAAUAGGGAGAGAAAGGGGUUUAAGGGCUGAAAAUAGGUGCUGGUGGACAAAAGGUUUAGGCACUUAUUUGCCUCUUGGAACCCCACCCCCCAAUCUGGAAAGGGAGCCCCAAGCUCAGACGAAUGGGUGUAUUUUUGACCUGAAAUUAAGACUUGGGAUUCCCAUUGAUAAGUGCAUGUGUGGGUUUGUUUUCCUUUUUAGUUCUGUUUCUACAAUUUUUUGAAAGCAGCCAAACUGUUUUAAGUGUAGAUUUAGCUGUAGAUUUGUGAAGAAUUAAAAUAUUUGAGGUGGGAGAACUACUUUGUGAAUUUAAUCAAGUUUUCUGAAAGAAUGAAAAAGUCUUUUUCAGGUGCAGGAGACAGACUACACUGGAAGAGGGGAGUCCGGCGGGUUACUUUGGGAAUUCCAGGCACCUUUUCCUCUCCCCUGUUGCCUAACAUGCUGGAGAACGGGGAUCGAGGGUAAGUGAAAUCUUUCCUGUGUCCGUUUCAAAGCUUAACCAAAACGGCCCCUGGUUUGAAUGGGUGAGCAAAGUUAGGCCAGGGUGUGUAGUGUCUAUGUAAGUAUGUGAGCUUCUCGUUUAGGUCUCCCUCUCCCACCCAUUUGCUGUCUAUCCUUUUCUCAUUUUCUCUCUCUCCCUCUCUUUUGCUAACACCCCCCCACCCCCCUUUCUCUCCCUCUCUCGAUGAACGACGGGCAGAAGUAGACAGAAGCAAAUGCCUUCUGCAACUCUGCUGACGUGAUCAUUUGACUCAGACCUUAAAUAGGCUGACCUUUAUGAGAUGGAAUUGUGUUUGUCAGGGUUGAUUUUAACUAAAAGUGUUAAAUAUAAAAUAAUUAAUAUCAUGCGUUUUUGACGAUAUCAUAACGUUUGCCUUUUGUGUAGCACAAUUUUAGUCACACCAUAGCCUGCAUUUUGCUGCUGAUAAUCUUCCUCUUUUUUUACUGUGAGCUUCAGCUUCAUAAUGAAGGCUCAAGUAUAUUUAAGCAAAAAUUAAAGAUUAUGUUUUGGUGUGUUACAACAGUCAGAAUGAAUUAUUUUGCAAUUAAACCAUGAUUUUCUGCUGACAUUAGAACUUCAACACACUACAUAGGGUGUGGUGUACUUAAGAAAAAAAUUGAAGUCCUUCAAAAAUACUUGGUAUUUCUUUUUCUGUACCUCAACAGUUGAUAUUAUAAAUAUUAAAUACAUUUUUAGUCCUUUCAACUUUUGUCAGUUUUUAGUUUUGAGCAAAUUAUAAAUAAACAAAAAUUUCAGUAAAACAAACAUUAUUGUGGUCUUCCUAUGUAAUUGAUUCCAUAUUAAUGUUGGUCUGGUGGUGUUGGUGUAAGCUUCCUUUUCUAAAAGAAAGAAAAAAAUGCAUUAAAAAAAAGCUGAAAUUUUUUUGCAAGCAAUAUAUAUAUAUAUAUAAAAGGAUAAACAGCGAAAUGUAUUGAUGGGCCACGAUCUUUCUCCCAUUUACCCUUUACACACUACAACAAAUGAUCUGUCAUAUGCUCUCAUCGCUUUAAACACCACUGGCUUUUCACAGAUGAAUAAUACAAUAAAUCAUCUCAAAACUAAUCUUGAUCUGGUAGUCUACCCUUUUUAAAAUCAGUUGUUCCUCUUAUUUUUCUUAACUAUCUCCCGCUAUUAUCCAUCCUCAUAUCGCUCCAUAAUUAGGCUACAUCCUACUAUGUUCUUCAGUAUACUGCAGACCUUAAAGUUAUUUUAAUAUCUUAUUAAUUUCUUAUUUUUUGUUAAUGUAUACAUGCCACUUUUGCUAAAUAUAUUUGUCCUUUAUAUAGGUUGUGGAAAUUAUUCCUUAUGAAUUGUACAAGCAUUCUUUUCCUUCUGUCCUUUUAUUUGUUUUUACAUUUGGAUAAAUUGUACUCCUAAAACCUGGUAAUCCUUUAAGUUAAUGUAACAUUUUUCUUGGCAACAGUUACUUAAUUGGAUAAUUAAAAUAUCUAAUGUUAUUGUACUGUAUUUGUAAUGCUAAUAGAUACUUUAACUUUUAUUAAAGUGAUACUUAAUCAUGUUAACAAUAUUAAGCCUGAGUUUGAAAAUUAGAGAUGCAGUUUUGGGGGAGAGUAAAAAACAAACAAACAAAAAAACUAUACAAUUUACUGACAGUAAAUUAUUUCCAUGGUAAUAAAACCAUUUUGACAGGCACUAGUUUUUUUUUUCUCCUCAUCUCCCCCCUUUGUUAUAUCCUCCAUUUUGUCAUCAUCCUCAACAUCCAUUUUAGGACAGUGUGUGCACAAUAACUCACUUAUUAAGUCUCAUAGGGCAUUAUUAGAAUGGCAUGAAAAGAUGUGGGUGACCACGGGCUUCCUCAUAAUUGUCUGUGUUAGAGAAAUAGCAGUAAUUCUGUCACUCUUUGCUGUCAAACAACUUUUAUUUCAUUUUUCAGAAAGAAGAGAAGCAAUCUGCUCACAUUGCCUUCUCAUCCAAUUUUGAUCUGUCUUUAUAUAUUUGGAUAACUUGGCACUAAAUAUCCAUAAGACAUUUCUAUAUUACAGAUAAUCCAACAAUAAAAUUUGUCCCUCCUUAAUCUUAUCCUAGUGAGGACCAGUGGAGUUUGUCAUCAUCUUUUUAUUUAGUCCAGAGUGCCCUGCAGCAGCACAUCAUGGUUUGUAUGUUCUAAGGGCAAAUUCCAAAUCAUGAUGCGCUGUCACAGGGAGCCUGGGAGUUUCUUCAUUAACAUGACAGCAUUAAACACCUAGUGUUCUGCUUAUAUCAUAAAUCACAGUGUAAUAAAUGCAUCUGAGGAAAGCUUUUUUAUUUAUUUUUUUAUUUUUUAAUAACAAGUAGUGUGUGAAAAAAAUAAUGAUAUGAUAAUGAAAAUGCUAAAAUGAUCAUGAAUAAAAAUGUGACAAAGCAGAGGGGUUUUUUUUCCAACUGAAAUGAUAUUUUUACAAAUGACCAGACACACAAUAAAUGAUUCAUGACUGAAUCACCAGGUGUGGCUUAGGAGGCCUCUUCAGCGAGUUAUUCCCAGACAGCUGUGAAUUCAGAUCCUGUAUUUGUAAGUCUAUAUUUUUGGAGAUCAGCAUUGCUUUUAACCGAUAGUGUAACUAUUCAAGCUGCUGAAUUAAUCUGCAUAUAUUUUGCAUGUUCCUUUCGCCCUCUUUCCUCCCUUGGACCACUUGAUGUCUCAGUGUGCCUGACAGCAGCAGCACAUCAAUAUUGGCAGCUGCCCUCUCCCUGGGUUGCCAGUAUGGCUUGUGCUGCUCCCGUCAGACAGACACACUCAGCGACUCUCCAGGAGCAGUAUGGAAACCACCUGUCCAGAAAUUAAAUGUUGUAUGUAUUUUACCUUGACAAAUGUCAAAAUUAAAAUGACAGCCCUUCUUGUUCAGUCUUGCCUGAAAAUGUCUAAGAGAAAAGCUUACCAUUAAAAAUAACAAACAAGA